UACGUAGGGGGCUAGCGUUGUCCGGAAUCAUUGGGCGUAAAGCGCGUGUAGGCGGUUCGGUAAGUCCGCUGUGAAAGUCGAGGGCUCAACCCUCGAAAGCCGGUGGAUACUGUCGGGCUAGAGUGCGGAAGAGGCGAGUGGAAUUCCUGGUGUAGCGGUGAAAUGCGCAGAUAUCAGGAGGAACACCGGUGGCGAAGGCGGCUUCCUGGACCGACACUGACGCUGAGGCGCGAAAGCUAGGGGAGCAAACGGG
rnacentral:rRNA from 1 species